GGUGAACGCUGGCGGUAGGCCUAACACAUGCAAGUCGAACGGAAGGACGGUGAGUGCUUGCUCUUACCGGGGGCGAGAGGCGGGUGGGUCACGAGUGCAUCGGAACCUACUUUUUCGGGGGUGAUCACGUAGGGAAGCUUACGAUAAUACAGCAUAGGCCCCACCGGUGAAAGCAGUGGAUCUUCAGGCCUUGGGGGAUUGAAUGAGCCGGUGUCGGGGUGGUUAGUUGGAGGGGUAAAGGCCCACCAAGGCGAGGAUACGUAGUUGGGCUGAGCGGUGGUUCGGCCACCCUGGAACUGAAACACGGUCCAGACUCCUACGGGAGGCACCAGUAGGGAAUAUUGGACAAUGGGCGCAAGCCUGAUCCAGCCAUGCCGCGUGGGUGAAGAAGGCCUUCGGUUUGUAAAGCCCUUUUACUGGGAAAGAAAAGCAGCAGGUUAAUACCUUGCGGUUCUGACGGUACCCAAUGAAUAAGCACCGGCUAACUUCGUG
rnacentral:rRNA from 1 species